UGAGCUUUUUCUUUCCAUAUGUGAAAUUGGGCUUCGAAAUUCCAGAUGUCCAAUUUCAAGCACCACGUGGAUUUACACUUUCCCCACCCUUUUCUUAUUCUCUCCAUAUCAAAGCUAAGAUAUUCAGUCUCCCACUCUUUUUAUUGCUUCUUCGGCCUUUCUUCCUGGCUCUUGAGAGUGAACUUUGCUCUGGGGGAAAGUGAAAACAGUAUUGCUACACCAGGACGCACCUCAACAUAGGUAGGGUGCUGAAAUAUCAACUAGCUACCCAGCUAUCCUUCCGUUCUAAAAAGGGUUCCGAAUUGUAAAUUCUGCGGAGCUAGAAGAUUUCAAUAUGAAACUCCUAGCUUUUGUUGUAGUAAUGGUUCGGUAAAUUUAGUUUCACAACGCCUACCUUCUGAGUUAAAAAGCCUCUACUUUGGCGUGAACGAUGAAUCCAAUCAUUUCCGUACUUAUAUUAGAACAUACAACAACAUGUUCGUA